rnacentral:rRNA from 1 species
GACGAACGCUGGCGGCGUGCCUAAUACAUGCAAGUCGAACGAAGCUGUUUUAACCGGUGCUUGCACCGACUUAAACAACUGAGUGGCGAACGGGUGAGUAACACGUGGGUAACCUGCCCCAAAGCGGGGGAUAACAUUUGGAAACAGAUGCUAAUACCGCAUAACCACAGAAACCACAUGGUUUCUGUGUCAAAGAUGGUUUCGGCUAUCACUUUGGGAUGGACCCGCGGCGUAUUAGCUAGUUGGUAAGGUAAUGGCUUACCAAGGCAAUGAAACGUAGCCGAACUGCGGGGUUGAUCGGCCACAUUGGGACUGAGACACGGCCCAAACUCCUACGGGAGGCAGCAGUAGGGAAUCUUCCACAAUGGACGAAAGUCUGAUGGAGCAACGCCGCGUGAGUGAAGAAGGUUUUCGGAUCGUAAAACUCUGUUGUCAGAGAAGAACGUGUGCGAGAGUAACUGCUCGUGCAGUGACGGUAUCUGGCCAGAAAGCCACGGCUAACUACGUGCCAGCCGCCGCUGUAA